UGUUUUGUUUUUGCCUCUUUCUUUUCUGACUGUGUCUCCUAAUGUGGGUGAUAUUAACCAAGUGUGACAGGUUUCAGGUUUUUAUUUAUAGCAGUGGAAAAUGGUUUUCAUGUCUUUGCAGAGUUCUAGGCAUCUGAGCCUAUUUUCUAUACCCUCAACUCAAACUUCUAGAGGUUAAGAGUGAAAGACACUUAAAGGUGCUAGAGUUUGGGAGUUGCAUCCAAAGGAGGGAAGACAGCAUGAGGAAUUUGAUAGAACUUCCCCAUCCUUUUCACUUAAGGUCACAAAUCUCCAAGCCUGGAACUGCUCACAUUCAUCAUUUUGCCUAUCCUGGUGAUGAAAGAACUGGAUCAGAGAUGAUUUCACUUUGUCCUUAUCCAGCUGUAUGAUCCUGGAAUGGACAUUUUGGAGACCCGGGGUAAAGUGAUCACUGGCAAUCAAUUCCCUUGCAUUACCCCACAUGCACCUGUGGCACAGUCUAUGGAAGAGGAAAGAAUUCAUUAGUAUCUCUAAGAACAUCCAUCACUACCCUUGGCCUCCAGCACCAAACAUUAGCAUGCAACUCUUCAGCAAUAGAUUAAAGGAAGGCAAGCCCUCUUUUCUGCUUUUUGAGAAAUUCUAUGUUAUAUGGUGUUCCUAUUACAUGUCAUCUAGAAAUAUACCGAACUGGAAAAGGAGUCAAGAGACUCAAGUUUUAAUCCUCUGUUCAAGUAGCUCUGGACAGGUCACUUCCCCUUUCUGUGUUCACUCUUCAUCUGCAAAAAUGCUGCACCUGAGCUAGAUAGUUUUUCUGAUCCCUUCCAAAUCCAAGAUUUUGUGGUUGACUUUUAAUCAGGUGAUUCUAUUUUUCCUAUGAAAAACUAUUUCCUCUCUUCCUCUCUUUCCCCCAGCUCAGGGUAUACCUAAAUGCCUGAAUCCAUGCCCAGGGCCCCAUUCAUAUAGCAACCAUAGGCCAUCAACAAGAGGGGUGAUCUGCUAGGACAACUGGGAGCAAGGACAUUGGUGUUAUUGGGGGCAAAACCUCUGACCUGGAGAGUCUGUAAGAAUGGAUAGAAUUUCAGUACAGAAUAUCACAAGCGUUAGUCCCCAUAAAGACAUAAAAAGAUCCAAAGAGUGUGGAUCUAAUGUGUGGAAAUUGUCACAGCAACUCACAUCAGGGUCAUAAUAUCACUGGAAAGGAGGCAUCUGAGAAUUGCAUUACCCUGCCCUCUUGUUCUCUGGGAGGAAGCUGAGUGAGUACUUCAGGAGAAUGAGGAGGCAGCCAUACAGUCACAGCAAAUGUCUCCCUUCUUCACUACCACCCACACCACAUCCCCAUGAGUUGGAAAUAUCUCACAGCUGAGCCAGCGGUGACUGGACAUAACAUUCCUUUGAGGGAGGAGAGGGUGUUUCCUAUUUUGCCUGACUCAUGUCUAGUGUGUAGGUUUCCAGAAAGCUGGGAGCCCCCUGCCUUUGUAGACACAUCCCUUGUGAACCCAGGGACCACUCAAACACUGGAGGACAGGGAAUGUCUUCAUGUGUGCCCAGGAAGAAGCGGUGUGGUGAACACGGAGCAGUCACUGUGCCACAAAUGGUCCUUUAAUUUAGGUGGGUGUUCAACCUGGAAUGAACACCCAUCAUGGGCCAAGUAUUUCCACACAUUGUUUCCUUCAGUCCUUGAAGUGUGCUUUAAUUGGAUCCUACCUAUACAAAAGUAACUGAAUUGUGGGGAGAGUGGAGGAAGGGUUCCCUCCCACCAUUAUUUUUACAACGAAUGUUUAUUUUACACUUUUCGUGUCGUAAGUAUAUAGAGAAAAUCCGCUUUGUGCAAAACAUUGUGAUAUAGAGUACAUUGUGGCAAGAAGCAGGAAAGGCCUGCAAAUAUGAAAACAGUCUUCCAAAGGAGUUUGCCAUUUACAUGGGGGAUCAAAUGUGCCUCAGUCAUAAGGGGAAGUCAGGCAGAGGAAUGCUGGAAGGAGUGUCCAAAUGGUCAGCUUUGAUAUAACAACCUGGAAUUCUGCACCUAUGAGUCUACUUUUUAAUAGUUUGUUGUUUUUGAAUAAGUAUUGCAUGCAUACCAUACGAACUCCAAUUGGGACAAGUGAUAUUCAGUGGACAGCAUCUCUCCUUUCAUCUCCCCUUUCAUCUCCCAACCUUUCAGUUCCCAUCCCUAGAUACAAUCACAUUUUCAGUUUCUUGUACAGCCUUUCAGAGUAUUCUGUGUAUUUACUUACGUCCUUGUACUUUUUUUCUCCUUGGUUUACUUUGCACAACGACGUAUCUUAGAAAUCCUUCUGUGGCAAUAUACACAGACUUGCCUCAUUUGUUUAAAUGAGGGUGGUCAAACUA